rnacentral:rRNA from 1 species
UACGAAGGGGGGCUAGCGUUGCUCGGAAUCACUGGGCGUAAAGCGCACGUAGGCGGAUCUUUAAGUCAGAGGUGAAAUCCCAAGGCUCAACCUUGGAACUGCCUUUGAUACUGGGGAUCUUGAGUCCGGGAGAGGUGAGUGGAACUGCGAGUGUAGAGGUGAAAUUCGUAGAUAUUAGGAAGAACACCAGUGGCGAAGGCGGCUUACUGGUCCGGUACUGACGCUGAGGUGCGAAAGGCGUGGGGAGCAAACAGG